CCGAACUUAGCUCAGCUGGAAGAGCGUGGGACUGUAAUUGGCUGUAAAUAUCCCGAGGCCGGCGGUUCGAUCCCGCCAGUUCGGA
rfam:Rhodotorula sp. JG-1b unplaced genomic scaffold RHOSPscaffold_26, whole genome shotgun sequence.